CCGCGUUCACACUCCACUGGGCAUUCUCUGAUCCAACCGGGCGAAAACACAGACCGGUUCACUCUGAGAUUGCCGGUUGAGGUUAGGAAGCAGAUAAUGAACCGGGAAUUGAACCGGACAAUGAGCAUGGUCGUAUUUUCAAGAGAAAGGAGUUCAAGGAGCGGCUAUAAACCCGGAGGCGACGGAGGAAGUAGUAGAGGGAAGCAUAAACGGCUUGAGCGGUUGGACCAGGGA
rnacentral:misc_RNA from 1 species